rnacentral:rRNA from 1 species
GAUGAACGCUGGCGGCGUGCCUAACACAUGCAAGUCGAGCGGCAGCGAGGGGUGCUUGCACCCUGUCGGCGAGCGGCGGACGGCUGAGUAACGCGUGGGAACGUGCCCCAAAGUGAGGAAUAACUGCCCGAAAGGGUAGCUAAAACCGCAUAUUAUCUUCGGAUCAAAGGAUUUAUCCGCUUUGGGAGCGGCUCGCGUCGGAUUAGGUAGUUGGUGAGGUAAUGGCUCACCAAGCCGACGACCCGUAGCUGGUCUGAGAGGAUGACCAGCCAGACUGGAACUGAGACCCGGUCCAGACUCCUACGGGAGGCAGCAGUGAGGAAUCUUCCACAAUGGGCGAAAGCCUGAUGGAGCAACGCCGCGUGCAGGACGAAGGCCUUCGGGUUGUAAACUGCUUUUAUAAGUGAGGAAUAUGACGGUAACUUAUGAAUAAGGAUCGGCUAACUACGUG